UACGUAGGUGGCAAGCGUUGUCCGGAUUUAUUGGGUUUAAAGGGUGCGUAGGCGGUUUGGCAAGUCUUGUGUGAAAUCUUUGGGCUCAACCCAAAGUCUGCAUAAGAAACUGCCGGGCUUGAGUAUGGGAGAGGUGAGUGGAAUUUCCGGUGUAGCGGUGAAAUGCGUAGAUAUCGGAAGGAACACCUGUGGCGAAAGCGGCUCACUGGACCAUUACUGACGCUGAGGCACGAAAGCUAGGGGAGCAAACAGG
rnacentral:rRNA from 1 species